rnacentral:tRNA from 1 species
UAGAAGGUGGUGUAGUGGAAGCACAAGGAGUUUUGAUCUCCUCAGGUCAGGUUCGAAUCCUCUCCUUCUAA